rnacentral:rRNA from 1 species
GGGUUGUGAGGUUAAGCGACUAAGCGUACACGGUGGAUGCCCUGGCAGUCAGAGGCGAUGAAGGACGUGCUAAUCUGCGAUAAGCGUCGGUAAGGUGAUAUGAACCGUUAUAACCGGCGAUUUCCGAAUGGGGAAACCCAGUGUGUUUCGACACACUAUCAUUAACUGAAUCCAUAGGUUAAUGAGGCGAACCGGGGGAACUGAAACAUCUAAGUACCCCGAGGAAAAGAAAUCAACCGAGAUUCCCCCAGUAGCGGCGAGCGAACGGGGAGGAGCCCAGAGCCUGAAUCAGUGUGUGUGUUAGUGGAAGCGUCUGGAAAGGCGCGCGAUACAGGGUGACAGCCCCGUACACAAAAAUGCACAUGCUGUGAGCUCGAUGAGUAGGGCGGGACACGUGGUAUCCUGUCUGAAUAUGGGGGGACCAUCCUCCAAGGCUAAAUACUCCUGACUGACCGAUAGUGAACCAGUACCGUGAGGGAAAGGCGAAAAGAACCCCGGCGAGGGGAGUGAAAAAGAACCUGAAACCGUGUACGUACAAGCAGUGGGAGCCUCUUUUAUGGGGUGACUGCGUACCUUUUGUAUAAUGGGUCAGCGACUUAUAUUCUGUAGCAAGGUUAACCGA